GUACCCUAUGGGAAUUGCUUGUUUUUCCUGUGACUACAUACAGCCCUCCCUAAACAAAGCUUCUUACUGCAGUUAUUGGGGGGGGGGGGGGGGAAGGCAUUUCAUUUAAAGCAAUGUAAAUUUUAGUGCAGUGGUUUGGCUUAGUUUUGCUUUAUUUCUAUGAAUAAUCAAACUGCUGAAGUAUUUGAAAGCCCUUGAAGUAAUGGUUCAAGACAGCUAGUAAUUGGUGGGUGGUAGACAGAAUUUCUUUUUCCUGCCCAAGUCUCCCUACUAAUUGUUUCUGCCUCUUGUCAUCUGUGUUGUUUUAUCAAUUAGCAGUUGUGGACUAAUUAAAUAAGACAUGCCUUGGUUUGCUAGGUAAGGUGGUUUACUUAGUAGCUAUGGAAGUCUCUAUAUAGCCUAGUUUUCAUCUCCCAAAUCCAGUAUGCAGUGUUCUGAUGUUUCCAGUGUUUGGAGCAGCUGUUGAUUCUAAACAGGACCUGUUACCCAGCCCAGCUGUAUGCAUGCCUAAGUAGGACUACAUUGACCUUUGCGCUCAGAGGUCAUUCCUGAUCCAGCUUACACAGACCUUCCAUGUUCCCUGUCUACAGACCAUGAGCUCCCUCAGGUUCAAGGCAGCAAGACUCACGAUCCUGUUCACAGAAUGUGCCUGUUUUGCAGUCAUGGAGACACCCAGCCAGGUCCAAGCUGGUCUGCAUUGAUUUGAACAGAAGGUAGCGCUGGAACUGCUCUACUACCUGGAAGACCUCUGAGUUCUGGUUAAGUUCAUUUUGAUCCUGGUCGUAUCUUAAAGUGUACUUGCACACAGCUUGAGCCUGCCUGGAUGCUGUUCUUCAGUCAUUUCUCUCUUCUGCCCCAAUUUGUAUUCCUGCCCUCCAGCAUCACGUUGGUCAGAAUCCUCUCAUUCUCCUGCACAGAGGCCAGAUGGAAGCGUGCUCCUUCAUCACUGCUUGUUUUGCAUAAUGUGGGAAUUGGAACUACAUUGGACAGCAUAAAUAAGUUUGGCCACUGGGAAUACAGUACAGGGGUGGGAACACAAUCCCAUAAUUGA
rnacentral:lncRNA from 1 species